UAGGGAAUCUUCGGCAAUGGGGGGAACCCUGACCGAGCAACGCCGCGUGAGUGAAGAAGGUUUUCGGAUCGUAAAGCUCUGUUGUUAAGGAAGAACGAGUGUGAGAAUGGAAAGUUCAUACUGUGACGGUACUUAACCAGAAAGGGACGGCUAACUACGUGCCAGCAGCCGCGGUAAUACGUAGGUCCCGAGCGUUGUCCGGAUUUAUUGGGCGUAAAGCGAGCGCAGGCGGUUAGAUAAGUCUGAAGUUAAAGGCAGUGGCUCAACCAUUGUAGGCUUUGGAAACUGUUUAACUUGAGUGCAGAAGGGGAGAGUGGAAUUCCAUGUGUAGCGGUGAAAUGCGUAGAUAUAUGGAGGAACACCGGUGGCGAAAGCGGCUCUCUGGUCUGUAACUGACGCUGAGGAUCGAAAGCGUGGGGAGCGAACAGG
rnacentral:rRNA from 1 species